rnacentral:ncRNA from 1 species
GUGCGCAGCAACGCGUAUCCUUGCCCGAAAGGGCCGGGAAAUCGCUCAAAUGCGCAUUUAGUCGGGAUUAUGGAUUGAAAUGGUCCAUAUGAAC